rnacentral:tRNA from 1 species
UCCCUGCUAGCUCAGCUGGUAGAGAAUCCGCCUGCAAUGCAGGAGACUCUAGUUCGAUUCCUGGGUUGGGAA